GACGAACGCUGGCGGCGUGCCUAAUACAUGCAAGUAGAACGCACAGUUUAUACCGUAGCUUGCUACACCAUAGACUGUGAGUUGCGAACGGGUGAGUAACGCGUAGGUAACCUGCCUGGUAGCGGGGGAUAACUAUUGGAAACGAUAGCUAAUACCGCAUAAUAUUAAUUAUUGCAUGAUAAUUAAUUGAAAGGUGCAAUUGCACCACUGCCAGAUGGACCUGCGUUGUAUUAGCUAGUAGGUGAGGUAACGGCUCACCUAGGCGACGAUACAUAGCCGACCUGAGAGGGUGAUCGGCCACACUGGGACUGAGACACGGCCCAGACUCCUACGGGAGGCAGCAGUAGGGAAUCUUCGGCAAUGGACGAAAGUCUGACCGAGCAACGCCGCGUGAGUGAAGAAGGUUUUCGGAUCGUAAAGCUCUGUUGUAAGAGAAGAACGGGUGUGAGAGUGGAAAGUUCACACUGUGACGGUAUCUUACCAGGAAGGGACGGCUAACUACGUG
rnacentral:rRNA from 1 species